rnacentral:rRNA from 1 species
GUAGGCGGUCUUGCAAGUCGGAUGUGAAAGCCCCGGGCUCAACCUGGGAAUUGCAUUCGAUACUGCCCGGCUAGGGUGCGGAAGAGGGAAGCGGAAUUUCCGGUGUAGCGGUGAAAUGCGUAGAUAUCGGAAGGAACACCAGUGGCGAAAGCGGCUUCCUG